rnacentral:rRNA from 1 species
AUUGAACGCUGGCGGCAGGCCUAACACAUGCAAGUCGAGCGGAGCGGCGGACGGGUGGGUAAUGCCUAGGAAUCUGCCUGGUCGUGGGGGUUAACGUCCGGAAACGGGCGCUAAUACCGCAUACUAUCAGAUGAGCCUCGGUCGGCUUAGCUCGUUGGUGGGGUAAGGGCCUACCAAGGCGACGAGCCGUAACUGGUCUGAGAGGAUGAUCAGUCACACUGGAACGGAGACACGGUCCACACUCCUACGGGAGGCAGCAGUUGGGAAUAUUGGACCAUGGGCGCAAGGCUGAUCCAGCCAUGCCGCGUGUGUGAAGAAGGUCUUCGGAUUGUAAAGCACUUUAAGUUGGGAGGCGGUACCAACAGAAGAAGCACCGGCUAACUUCGUGCCAGCAGCCGCGGUAAUUC